rnacentral:rRNA from 1 species
UACAGAGGUCUCAAGCGUUGUUCGGAUUCAUUGGGCGUAAAGGGUGCGUAGGUGGCGCUGUAAGUCAGGUGUGAAAUUUCGGAGCUCAACUCCGAAACUGCAUUUGAUACUGCGGUGCUUGAGGACUGGAGAGGAGACUGGAAUUCACGGUGUAGCAGUGAAAUGCGUAGAUAUCGUGAGGAAGACCAGUGGCGAAGGCGGGUCUCUGGACAGUUCCUGACACUGAGGCACGAAGGCCAGGGGGAGCAAAACGGG